CGCGUAGGCGGGCGAUCAAGUCCGGGGUGAAAUCUUUCGGCUCAACCGGAAAACUGCCUUGGAUACUGAUCGUCUUGAGGGAGGUAGGGGCAGGUGGAACUUCCGGUGGAGCGGUGAAAUGCGUUGAUAUCGGAAGGAACGCCGGUGGCGAAAGCGGCCUGCUGGAUCUCUUCUGACGCUGAUGCGCGAAAGCUAGGGUAGCGAACGG
rnacentral:rRNA from 1 species